AACGUAGGAGGCGAGCGUUAUCCGGAGUUACUGGGCGUAAAGCGCGGGCAGGCGGCUUCGCAAGUUCGAUGUGAAAUCUCUCAGCUCAACUAGGAGCAGCCAUUGGAAACUACGGAGCUGGAGUCUGGCAGAGGUAGGCGGAAUUCCGGGUGGAGUGGUGAAAUGCGUAGAGAUCCGGAGGAACACCAGAGGCGAAGGCGGCCUACUGGGCCAGUACUGACGCUGAGCCGCGAAAUCCA
rnacentral:rRNA from 1 species